AGCGGAGGAAAAGAAACCAACAGGGAUUGCCCUAGUAACGGCGAGUGAAGCGGCAACAGCUCAAAUUUGAAAGCUGGCUCCGGCCCGCAUUGUAAUUUGCAGAGGAUGCUUUUGGCGAGGUGCCUUCCGAGUUCCCUGGAACGGGACGCCAUAGAGGGUGAGAGCCCCGUAUGGAUGGACACCAGACCUGUGUAAAGCUCCUUCAACGAGUCGAGUAGUUUGGGAAUGCUGCUCUAAAUGGGAGGUAAAUCUCUUCUAAAGCUAAAUACCGGCCAGAGACCGAUAGCGCACAAGUAGAGUGAUCGAAAGAUGAAAAGCACCUUGAAAAGGGGGUUAAACAGUACGUGAAAUUGUUGAAAGGGAAGCAUUUAUGACCAGACUUGCGCCGGGCAGCUCAUCAGGGGUUCUCCCCUGUGCACUCUGCCCGGCUCAGGCCAGCAUCGGUUCUCGUGGGAGGAUAAGAACAGUGGGAACGUGGCCCCCCUCCGGGGGGGUGUUAUAGCCCAUUGUACGAUACUCUCGUGGGGACCGAGGUUCGCGCUCCGCAAGGAUGCUGGCGUAAUGGUCAUCAAUGACCCGUCUUG
rnacentral:rRNA from 1 species